UAUCUUACGGGUUUCUCGUUUUAAUUCUUCCUAUAUGUAACUAAUUCUAUUUGUACAACGGUUGAUGUGGAUCACGUGAGGAUUAUCCUAGAUUCUUGCAUUAGAAUGCUACCAGGCACACGUGUGAACUAGGAGGUAACUAGUUUAUUUGAUUGAUAAUGGGUAGAAAAUUUCAAUGUAACUUCGGGGAUGUUCAUAUCUAAGGAACCUGACUCUAUAAUGCCUUGAAUGAAUUCAACACCUGAUAUGGCGAUUAUUUAAAGCUAAUUUAGUAUUUUGACCGUUCUGUCAUUUCAUAGUGAGUUUCAUUCGUUGGUUUGCUUCAUUCUAGAGUAAUAAAAUUUAUUUUAUUUACAUAAUGAAUGUUGUUUAAACCUACAAAUAUUCUUUCAAAAUGGCAAAGACUUUAGAAUAAAGAAGACCAAUAUUAUGUCAGAAUAAGGAAGGGCAAUAUUCAUUGGGUUCUCUUAGAAAGUUCUUUGGUUAUGAGCAUGUAGUAUGCAUUAUGUUAGACUCACUAAAGUUUUUAAUGGUAUUUCAUAGGAUUUAAUAAUGUAUAUUUUUUGGCAGAGAUAUGAGCAUUGCCUAUAUUAGAAUAUGAAGGUAAAUGUGUUCUCACAUAAUGGUAUUAAUACAGAAUGUGAUUCUUGUCUGAUGUUAGUCUCACAUAAUGUCAUUCUCAUAAAAAAGGUUGGAAUCAAGUCGACCAUGGACCAUUGAAGAAGAUCAAACAUUUAUUUAAGCAAUGUAUGUUUAAGCAUGCUAUGUUUUUUAAGACAUUAUUUUAUUUUUCUGACAUUCUAUUAGAAUACGUAUAAAUGUAUUAAAUUGUAUAGCACUAUUAUUUUAUAAGAAUAUGUGUGAAUCUACAUUAAGAUUUCCAUGAAUAUACAACGAUCUUGUUAUUUUUCAACUAAUGGUUCAAGAAUAUUGUCUUCAUUCAAGAAGUUCAUUUAGUCACAAUAUUUAUUAUGUAAGAAAUAUGUAUAUUGACAUUCUUAAAGAAUAUUAUUCUGAAAGAACAAAAUCUGGUAUAAUUAAAAAUUACGUUAGAAUUAAAAUUAAAUUAAUUAAAAAAAUCAGAAUUAAUAAAUCAAAAGAAUUAAUUAUCCACCAAAAUUGGAAUUUUACAUUUUUAAAUUUAUCUCACUUGAUUAAAAUACCGUAAUAUUGAAAUUAGAUGAUAUUUUUAAUUCAAUAAUAUUUAUUAAUCAAUUUCUUUAAAUAACUAAAAUGAUUGAUCCACAAUCAAUCAUACAUCAAAACAAUUGAUAGAUAGAAAUUAAUAACCUAGCCNUAUAUAUAUAUAUAUAUAUGUAGGUUGGUAGGUAGGUUUAUUUGUUCUAACUAUCUAUUGUAUGUAUAUAUAGUUGAUUGUGGAUCAAUAAAAAAAUUAUUAAAUAAAUAUGGGUAACUUGGUAAUUUGAUAAAUAACUUCCAUAAAUACGCCCUCCCUGAAAUCAUGGUACAUUGACUUUUAACCUAAUUUCUCUCCAUAUUUAUCUACAACUAUUCUCGCUCACCACUUUCGAAAACCAUAUUCCCCUAAUCACGUCUGUAACCAUUCCUUUUCCCUCUGUUUUUCAUACAUUGGUCCCUUCACUAUAGAUUAUGGCGUCACAACCUAGGAGGGAAACACCCACCCCAUUCAUUUGUGUAUGUGAUUUAGGUUUGUCAUUAAUAAUGUGAUGGUGGUGAGGCAGUCCAAGGAGAUAGCAACGACCAUGGUGGACAUAUUCUUUGUGAAAGUCAUGCCCACAUGCUCGUCGACAGCCUGUACCAUUCACUUGUCAAUGCACUUUUAAUCAAGGUAAUUUCUUAUUACCUUUUAUGAACAUACACAACCAACUCUAUCAUUCUCGAUAAGAUAACCUCCUUCCAGUGAGAUUUACCUGAAACACAUGAUGGUCUAAUAAAGUUUUUAUUGCAUUUUGUAGAAGUUAUGAGUCUAGGAUUAGAGAUCAGAAAGACAAACCAAUUAGAAUAUAUGUUUCUCUAGUGAUACUUCUCUGUCCUGUUGAAUAUGGGUGUAUUGAUGAACUUUAUGUGAAGAACAUAAUCUAAUUGCGGUCAGAUUGUUUUUAAACAGUUUUUGGCCGCCCAUGAGUAAAUCCCCAAAAAGUUUACUAUUUCAUACAUUAUUAAUUUAAAUAGUUAAUGUUUAGAUAUUAUCAAUUUUUUUUUAUAAUUUAUGUUCUACGUUAUGACUAGAAACCUGGGAAUCUUCAUUUGCCAUGUUUAUUGUUUUGAUCCCUAAUCUAUGUGGUGCUUCCUAAACGUUGAUUUGAUUAUGUAUGAAGUGUUGUUGCUGAAUUCUGUUUGUUUUUUCUUGAUGUUUAGUAUCAGAUAAAUCCUCAAUUAUUAUUAUUUUUUUGUAAUUAAUUUCUGCUCUCUCUCUGUUCUUGCAUAUUUAUUAUGUUUUGCUGCAUGUAAAUCCCCCAACUAGAUUAGUUGAAGGCAUGCAGUAUAUCAAUCUCCAAUCAAAAUUAUGGUUUUUUUUAAUUCUUUUUAUAUGUAAUAUUAGUUGAAGGUAUUGACAAUAGUUAAUUCAUAUCACACCCUGGUAAUCGAUAUGCUUUCAGCUUAUUCAUAUUUUGUAUUUUUUUUUUUGUGUCUUAUGGGUUUCUCGUUUUAUUCUUUCUAUAUGUAACUUAUUCUAUUUGUACAACGGUUGAUGUGGAUCAAGUGAGGAUUAUCCCAGAUUCUUGCAUUAAAAUGCUACCAGCCAUAAGUGGGAAUUAGGAGGUAAUUAGUUUAUUUGAUUGAUAAUGGGUAUAAAAUUUCAGUGUAAUGUUGUAUUUUAUGGUUGAUCUUUGUUUUUUUUUGUUUCUUUGUUUUAGCCUUUUUU
rnacentral:lncRNA from 1 species